rnacentral:lncRNA from 1 species
AUGGCAGAAUUCCAGCAGCAUGGAGGACGCUGAUGCAAAUGUGUAUGAGGUAGAAGAGCCGUAUGAAGCUCCAGAUGGCCAGCUGCAGCUUGGACCCAGACAUCAGCAUUCCAGGGUCUCGCUCUGUCAACCCAGGUUGGAGUGCAGUGGCAAGAUCACAGCUCACUGCAGCCUCAACCUCCCAGACUUAGAGAUGGGGCUUCACCAUGUUGCCAAGGCUGGUCUCGAACUCUGGGCUCAAGCGAUCCUCCCUCAUCGGCUUCCCAAAGUGCUGGGAUUACAGACGUGAGCCACUGCACCCAGCUAGAUUGACUCUUGAUAGCAGUGAUUCUAAGCAGCUUUAAUUCUUAUUGAGCCCUCACAGUGUUAAGAAGCAAAAACAUUUUUUGUGUGCUCUUUUGUACUCUACAAAUUAAUGUCUUCUCUGCCUGGUCUUUGAAAUCUUGGCCCCAGUAAAUAUCUGUGCUGGCUAUGCAGCU